UAACGCCCGCUUUGGUCCCGAUUUUAUUUAAAGGAAAUAGGCUGUAAUUCAUCACUAACAGUCAUCAUGACUUCACCAUAUACUCAUUACUUUAAAUACUCUAACACUAUCAUAAAUACAAUCAGAUUUUCGAAAGAAAUAGGAACUUAUGUAAAGGGUUUUAGCUCCUCCCAUAAUCAUUGUAUAACUUUGCUUACACAAGUCCUUAACCCCUGAAGUAAAGCUGUAGUCCAUGUGGCAUUCAUUCUGUCACUGUUUAGAGGAAGGGAAGGUCAGAGCUAAUGUUUCUUGGGAGUAGGAAGCUGUUGAAAGUUAUCAUUGUCAGUGCCACAGCUGGUGCCAGUGCGUUGAUAGGGUGUGGAACAAGAGUUUAUGGUCAGAAGGUCAGCGGAUUGAGCUCAUAUUAUAGGGCUCAGGGAAACUACAAUUACAACGUUCCAGGGACAAGCAUGUUCACUGAUAUCACUCAAGAAGUGUUCAGGUCAAACCCUGACAGUAACCCAGUUCAGCUCAACUAUGGAGUGGCUGUAACUGAUGUGGACAAUGAUGGACAGUUGGAAAUUGUUGUUGCUGGAUAUAAUGGGCCAAACUUAGUGCUGAAGUACAAUAAAGAUGAGGGUCAGCUUGUCAACCUUGCUGUCAAUGAUCCAGAGUCCCCAUACUACCCUCUGAGAGAUGUUGGGGGAAAUGCCAUUGGUGUUUGUGCAUGUGAUGUUGAUGGAGAUGGGAGAGAGGAGAUUUACUUCCUCAACACCAAUCAGGCAUACUCAGGAAUGGCCACUUACUCGGACAAGCUCUUCAAGUUCAGAAAUGGUCGAUAUGAGGACAUCUUGAAUGAUGAUAUCAACAAGAACAUUGCAAGCUACUUUGCCGGCCGUUCAGUUGCUUGUAUAGAUAGAAAUGGAAAUGGCAAAUAUGCUGUCUAUCUUGCUAAUUAUGCAAGUGGCAAUGUUGGCCCACAUUCCUUGAUUGAAAUGGAUGAGAACCGUAGUGAUGUAGCCAACGGUGUGAUUGCACUGAGAAAUGUUGCAAAUGAAGCUGGUAUUGCCAAGCUUACAGGUGGACGAGGUGUUACUGUUGGACCCAUUUUAAGCAAAGAUGGACGCAGUGACAUCUUCUGUGACAAUGAGCACGGAGCAAACUUCUUGUUCAAAAACAACGGUAAUGGAACGUUUACAGACGUGGCUGCAGAAUCAGGUGUUUCCGAUUCAUAUGAGCAUGGUAGGGGUGUUAUGCUGACUGACUUUGAUGGAGAUGGGAAACUUGACAUUGUGUAUGGCAACUGGAAUGGGCCCCAUAGACUCUUCCUACAGACAGCUGAUGAUGAAGGCCGACCCAAAUUCAGGAAUAUUGCAACUGAAGAAUUUGCCAGGCCAUCUCCCAUUCGGACAGUCAUUGCAGCUGAUUUCAACAAUGAUGGUAAUUUAGAGGUUCUACUGAAUAAUAUUGCCUACCGUGGACCUGCUCCAAACAGGCUUUUCCAAAUUCUCAGAGGCAUAAAUGGUCAAGAUCCAUCAAUCAAAGAGAUUAACAUUGGUGAUGCACUAGAACCCAAUGGCAGAGGAACAGGAGGUGCAGUGACUGAUCUGGAUGGUGAUGGAAAACUUGAGGUCAUUCUGUCACAUGGAGAGUCUGCAGAACAACCAAUUAGUAUCUAUAGAGUCAACUCCGAUGAAGAAAACAGACCAAAAGGGUGGCUACGUGUACGUGUUAACACACAGCAUGGAGCUCCAGCCAGGGGAGCACAGGUGACACUUCAUACUAAUAAUGGGAAGUACUCCAGAGUGAUUGAUGCUGGAUCUGGGUACCUCUGCCAGAUGGAACCAGUGGCUCACUUUGGCUUCAACACUGAAACACCCACAAGGCUAGAAGUUAUGUGGCCUGAUACAAGCUUUAAGGCAGUUGAUCUUAAUUCUACAAAUAUGAAUAGUGAGAUGACUGUUACUCAUCCUGGCACCAGUGGACAGACAGUUGCUCCCAUUACCUCUAACUCUCAGUGUGCACCUGGAUGGACACUGGACAUCACAAGUGGACGCUGCAUUGACAUAAAUGAAUGUGAUGCAGAUAAUACUUGUGGACGACGGUAUAGAUGUGUAAAUACUCUUGGUACUUAUAAAUGUGUACCAAACAUUCUUUGUCCAGAAGGCUAUCAGGCAUCCCAACAAUUUACAUGUGAAGAUGUUGAUGAAUGCCAAGGACAAGUAUGUGCCCAUUUCUGCACCAACACACUGGGCUCCUACCAAUGCAGAUGUCGCAAUGGGUAUCGCCUAGACCACGCUAAUGGAGCCUGUAGAGACAUAAAUGAGUGUGCAGAGGGCACUCACAGUUGUCAACAAUAUUGUCAUAACCACCGUGGAGGUUACCACUGCCACUGCUUUAGGGGCUAUACCUUAGGUUAUGACCGUCAUUCCUGUAGACCAAAUGGAAUAAACUGAUGCAUUUGGUUGUUUUUGGAUGGAGCAAUUUUUAUAUUCCUAGAAUUAUAUGCAAAUUCCACUGAGAUUCGAAUUUUUUGUGCGAAAGAGAGGAAAGAUUUUAAAAUGCCGUGAUUCAGCUCCUUUUGGACACCAGAAAUAGAGUUAAGAAAAGCAAUAUAUACCUUGCCAGUUCAGUGUGAGAGAAAAGAGGAGAGAUUGUGAGAGAAGAAAGAUGAAGAAAAGUAAAAGACAGAGUGGAUAAAAGAAGAGAGGGAGCAACAGGGAAAGAAUGGGAAGGAGAAGAGAGAAAAAGUGAGAGAAAGAACAGAAAGGAGGAGUGAGAGAAAAGGAAAGACAAAGAAGUAGAGAGACACAAAACAAAAUAUAUGAUGAUGGAUGAAUUUUGCUGCAUAUGCACUGGUAAUAGAGAUAUUCCAGUCACAUGAAAAUAUUCUAGUAACAUACUACUUGCAGGUACAACAGACAGUAUUACAGAUAAUGAAGGAAAUUAAUGACAGCAACUCACUUUUUGCAACAUCAGGUACUUGUGUACUGAAGUAACUUGAUAAACAAUAAAAGGAUUAAUGUGUAGACAAAAACACAUGUAAAGAUUGAUACUCAGAGAUAAUGGUGAAGGACAUAACCAUAUGUGUAAAUGCAAAUUUUAGGAACUUGUCACCAUGAAGAUAGUGCUACAUAUUACUAUUAAUUGAGGAUAGGUUUAUCAUGGAUACACCUAGUUUAGUAAUGAAGCAUUUCUGUGAUGGUGUUCCUGUAUUUUAUUCUUUGAUAUUUUAAUAUGGCAGCCAGAACCAUAGUCAAUUAUGAAUAUAAUUGGAAUUCAAAGUUUUAAAAUUGCUACCUGGGGCUGAAUUAUGAUUUAGAAGAAAAAAUACAGAAAUAAAAUUAACGGACUGCAUUGGUAUUAAUAUCUAUGACUAGAUAGGUUGGUGAUGACUUAACUGAAGAAAAUAUAUUUUCUACUUAAAUAUGUGAAUUUACUCUUGUACAGUAUACUCAGAUAUAUGGGAAAAUAUUUAUUUUUUUAAAAAAUAUUAAGUGGAGAACCUUUUUAAUUUCUGUUAAUUUUCUUUUAGUUAACUGAAAAAAAAUAAUAAUAAUCAGAAUUCUCUUGAGAAUUGGCUAAGAAUGUAGUUCUUUUUUAGCACUUUUGAAAAAUAAAAAUCCUAUUGUGAAA
rnacentral:misc_RNA from 1 species